GAUGUUACAAAGUACUUUACCAGUUUCCAUGGAUCUCAAUAGUGCCAGCACUGUUGUUCUUCAGGUCUUAACACAGGCCACCAGUCAGGAUACUGCUGUGUUAAAACCAGCUGAGGAGCAGUUGAAGCAGUGGGAGACACAGCCAGGUUUCUAUUCAGUGUUGCUGAAUAUUUUCACAAACCAUACUUUGGAUAUAAAUGUAAGGUGGCUUGCUGUACUGUAUUUUAAACAUGGAAUUGAUCGCUACUGGAGACGUGUAGCACCUCAUGCUCUCUCAGAGGAGGAGAAAACUACUCUGCGUGCAGGGCUCAUCACCAACUUCAAUGAACCGAUAAACCAAAUUGCAACUCAGAUUGCAGUGCUGAUUGCAAAAGUUGCUAGAUUGGAUUGUCCUAGACAGUGGCCUGAACUAAUUCCCACCCUUAUAGAGUCUGUUAAAGUCCAGGAUGAUCUUCGACAGCACAGAGCAUUACUUACCUUCUAUCAUGUUACCAAGACACUGGCAUCCAAACGACUUGCUGCUGAUAGAAAACUAUUUUAUGAUUUAGCUUCUGGAAUUUAUAAUUUUGCCUGCUCUCUGUGGAAUCACCAUACAGACACAUUCCUGCAACAAGUUUCUUCUGGCAAUGAAGCUGCAAUUCUAAGUUCACUAGAACGAACUCUGCUAUCAUUGAAAGUGCUGCGUAAGUUAACUGUUAAUGGAUUUGUGGAACCUCAUAAAAAUAUGGAGGUGAUGGGUUUUUUACAUGGAAUAUUUGUACGUCUAAAACAGUUUCUGGAAUGCAGUAGAAAUAUAGGUACAGAUAAUGUGUGUAGAGAUAGACUGGAAAAGACCAUCAUUCUUUUUACUAAAGUGCUUUUGGACUUCUUAGAUCAGCAUCCCUUUUCAUUUACUCCUCUAAUUCAGAGAUCACUGGAAUUUUCUGUAAGCUAUGUUUUUACAGAAGUUGGUGAAGGUGUUACAUUUGAACGAUUCAUUGUCCAGUGUAUGAAUCUUAUUAAGAUGAUUGUCAAAAAUUAUGCUUAUAAGCCAUCCAAAAAUUUUGAAGAUAGCAGCCCUGAAACUCUUGAAGCCCAUAAGAUUAAGAUGGCAUUCUUCACAUAUCCUACUUUGACAGAGAUAUGUAGAAGAUUAGUCUCUCAUUAUUUUCUGUUAACUGAAGAAGAACUGACAAUGUGGGAAGAAGACCCAGAAGGCUUUACAGUGGAAGAAACAGGAGGAGAUUCUUGGAAAUACAGUUUGAGGCCGUGCACUGAAGUAUUAUUUAUAGAUAUAUUCCAUGAAUAUAAUCAGACUCUCACUCCUGUACUUCUAGAAAUGAUGCAAACCCUUCAAGGACCCACAAAUGUGGAAGAUAUGAAUGCACUGUUAAUAAAAGAUGCUGUGUAUAAUGCUGUUGGAUUAGCUGCUUAUGAGCUGUUUGACAGUGUUGAUUUUGAUCAGUGGUUUAAAAACCAGCUUCUUCCAGAAUUACAAGUCAUUCACAAUAGGUAUAAGCCAUUGCGACGCAGGGUGAUUUGGCUCAUUGGUCAGUGGAUUUCUGUGAAAUUCAAGUCUGACUUAAGACCCAUGCUUUAUGAAGCAAUCUGUAACUUGCUUCAAGAUCAAGAUUUAGUGGUCCGUAUUGAAACAGCUACAACUUUGAAGUUAACUGUUGAUGAUUUUGAAUUUAGAACAGAUCAGUUUCUACCGUAUUUGGAAACCAUGUUCACACUACUUUUUCAGCUACUGCAGCAAGUUACAGAAUGUGACACAAAGAUGCACGUUUUGCAUGUCCUUUCUUGUGUCAUUGAAAGAGUCAAUGUGCAGAUACGACCAUAUGUGGGAUGCUUGGUACAAUAUUUGCCCCUCCUUUGGAAGCAGAGUGAAGAACACAAUAUGUUGAGAUGUGCUAUUUUGACAACACUUAUUCAUCUUGUGCAGGGAUUAGGAGCAGACAGCAAGAACCUGUACCCUUUCCUGCUCCCAGUUAUUCAACUGAGUACAGAUGUUUCUCAGCCUCCACAUGUUUAUCUUCUGGAAGAUGGUUUAGAAUUAUGGUUAGUAACAUUGGAAAACAGCCCAUGUGUUACACCGGAGUUGCUUCGUAUAUUUCAGAAUAUGUCACCACUUCUUGAACUAAGUUCAGAAAAUCUCAGAACUUGCUUUAAGAUCAUCAAUGGUUAUAUCUUUUUAUCAUCAACAGAAUUUUUACAGACAUAUGCAGUAGGUCUAUGCCAGUCCUUUUGUGAACUUUUAAAGGAGAUUACCACAGAAGGUCAAGUUCAAGUGCUCAAGGUUGUGGAAAAUGCCCUUAAAGUGAACCCAAUAUUAGGUCCGCAAAUGUUUCAACCGAUUUUUCCCUACGUUUUCAAGGGUAUUAUAGAAGGGGAGAGGUAUCCUGUAGUGAUGUCCACGUAUCUUGGAGUUAUGGGUCGAGUUCUACUACAAAACACUAGUUUUUUUUCUUCACUACUUAAUGAGAUGGCUCAUAAAUUUAAUCAAGAGAUGGACCAGCUUUUGGGAAAUAUGAUUGAAAUGUGGGUUGAUCGAAUGGACAACAUUACCCAGCCCGAAAGAAGAAAACUUUCAGCUUUGGCUUUGCUUUCUCUUCUGCCAUCUGAUAAUAGCUUCCUGUAUCCAUGGCAACCUCUGUUUUACACAUUGACUCUAAAGGAACCAAUGUGAAGAGUGGUGUUUCCUGAGCAAACAGUGACUUUAAAAAAAAGGUGGUGGAGUGGAGGUCAGCAGUGCCACAGAACAAAAUGAAGUUUAGAAAUGUCGUUCUUCAGAUUUAGAAAGAAAAUCUUUACUGAAUCAGCUGAGCUUUAAUAAUAUGAAUUUCCUGUUUUUGCCAAUUCUGAUCUGAACAGAAAAACCAAGAACAGGGAUAUGUGUGGAUUACAGUUUUCUCUGCUUUGCCUACGACUGUUUCUGCUUGUUACCUGUUAUAUUUUAUUAUUACUUCACAAAGAAAUACUUGGAUGUUCGUCUGUUUGUCAGCUCUGCACUGGGAGACAAAUUAACUGCCGUAACUUAGGCCUUUCGAGUAUUCCUCAGAAUUUUCCUGAACGUACAGCUUUUCUGUAUCUGACUGGAAAUAAUAUAUCUUAUAUAAAUGAAAGUGAAUUAACAGGACUUCAUUCUCUUGUAGCAUUGUAUUUGGAUAAUUCUAACAUUCUCUAUGUAUAUCCAAAAGCCUUUGUUCAAUUGAGGCAUCUAUAUUUUCUAUUUCUAAAUAAUAAUUUUAUCAAACGCUUAGAUCCUGGAAUAUUUAAGGGACUGUUAAAUCUUCGUAAUUUAUAUUUACAGUCUAAUCUGGUAUCUUUUGUUCCAAGAGGAAUAUUUAAUGAUCUAGUUUCAGUUCAGUACUUAAAUCUACAAAGGAAUCGCCUCACUGUUCUUGGGAGUGGUACCUUUGUUGGUAUGGUUGCUCUUCGGGUACUUGACUUAUCAAACAAUAACAUUUUGAGGAUAUCAGACUCAGGCUUUCAACAUCUUGGAAACCUUGCUUGUUUGUAUCUAGAAAGUAAUACUUUAACAAAAGUACCAUCAAAUGCCUUUGAUGUACUUAAAAGUCUUAGAAGACUUUCUUUGUCUCAUAAUCCCAUUGAAGUAAUACAGCCCUUUGCAUUUAAAGGACUUGUCAACUUGGAAUAUCUCCUCCUGAAAAAUUCAAGAAUUAGAAAUGUUACUAGGGAUGGAUUUAGUGGAAUUAAUAAUCUUAAACAUUUGAUCUUAAGUCAUAAUGAUUUAGAGAAUUUAAAUUCUGACACAUUUAGUUUGUUAAAGAAUUUAAUUUACCUUAAGUUAGAUAGAAACAGAAUAAUUAGCAUUGAUAAUGAUACAUUUGAAAACAUGGGAGCAUCUUUGAAGAUCCUUAAUCUGUCAUUUAAUAAUCUUACAGACUUGCAUCCAAGGGUCCUUAAGCCAUUGUCUUCAUUGAUUCAUCUUCAGGCAAAUUCUAAUCCUUGGGAAUGUAACUGCAAACUUGCGGGCCUUCGAGACUGGCUAACAUCUUCAGCCAUUACCCUAAACAUCUAUUGUCAGAAUCCCCCAUCCAUGCGUGGCAGAGCAUUACGUUAUAUUAACAUUACAAAUUGUGUUACGUCUUCAACAAAUGUAUCCACAGCUUGGGCUGUUGUAAAAUCUCCUCACAUUCGUCACAAGACUACUGCACUAAUGAUGGCCUGGCCUAAAGUAACCACCAGUGGCAAUCCUCUGGAAAAUACUGAAACUGAGAGCAUUACUUUCUGGGAACAAAAAUCUCCUUCACCUGCUGGUAGAUUUUUUCAAGAGACUGCGUUUGGUAAUCGAUUAGAGACUACAGCAGUGUUGCCUGUGCAGAUACAGCUUACUACUUCUGUUACCUUGAACUUGGAAAAAAACAGUGCUCUACCGAUUGAUGCUGCUUCAGUGUCAGGGAAAACAUCUCUGAUUUGUACACAAGAAAUUGAGAAGUUGAAUGAGGCUUUUGACAUUUUGCUAGCUUUUUUCAUCUUAGCUUGUGUUUUAAUCAUUUUUUUGAUCUACAAAGUUGUUCAAUUUAAACAAAAACUAAAGGCACUAGAAAACUCAAGGGAAAAUAGACUUGAAUACUACAGCUUUUAUCAGUCAGCAAGGUAUAAUGUAACUGCCUCAAUUUGUAACAGUAAUCCAAAUUUUCUAGAAAGUCCUGGCUUGGAGCAGAUUCAACUUCAUAAACAAAUUGUUCCUGAAAAUGAGGCACAGGUCAUUCUUUUUGAACAUUCUGCUUUGUAACUCAACUAAAUACUGUCUAUAAGAAACUUUGGUGCCAUGGACAUGAUUAAAACUGAAACUUCUUUAAUAGAAGUAUAUGCUUGGAAAUACAAUGAAUUAUAUGAGGUUAGCAUUAUUAAAAUAUGUUUUUAAUAA